rfam:Lutzomyia longipalpis Contig3176, whole genome shotgun sequence.
AAAACAGUCCUUUUCAGGACUAUCACAAAAUCAAUAAAGAGUUGACU